rnacentral:rRNA from 1 species
UGGGGAAUUUUGGACAAUGGGCGAAAGCCUGAUCCAGCAAUGCCGCGUGUGUGAAGAAGGCCUUCGGGUUGUAAAGCACUUUUGUCCGGAAAGAAAUCCUUGGCUCUAAUACAGUCGGGGGAUGACGGUACCGGAAGAAUAAGCACCGGCUAACUACGUGCCAGCAGCCGCGGUAAUACGUAGGGUGCAAGCGUUAAUCGGAAUUACUGGGCGUAAAGCGUGCGCAGGCGGUUUGCUAAGACCGAUGUGAAAUCCCCGGGCUCAACCUGGGAACUGCAUUGGUGACUGGCAGGCUAGAGUAUGGCAGAGGGGGGUAGAAUUCCACGUGUAGCAGUGAAAUGCGUAGAGAUGUGGAGGAAUACCGAUGGCGAAGGCAGCCCCCUGGGCCAAUACUGACGCUCAUGCACGAAAGCGUGGGGAGCAAACAGGAUUAGAUACCCUGGGUAGUCCACGCCCUAAACGAUGUCAACUAGUUGUUGGGGAUUCAUUUCCUUAGUAACGUAGCUAACGCGUGAAGUUGACCGCCUGGGGAGUACGGUCGCAAGAUUAAACUUAAAUGAAUUGACGGGGUCAUAGCUGUUUCCU